rnacentral:rRNA from 1 species
CCUACGGGUGGCUGCAGUCGAGAAUCUUCGGCAAUGGGCGCAAGCCUGACCGAGCGACGCCGCGUGCGGGAUGAAGGCCUUCGGGUUGUAAACCGCUGUCGUAGGGGAGGAAGGGCCUGUGAAGAACAGGACUUGACCGAUCCUAGGAGGAAGGGCCGGCUAAUCUCGUGCCAGCAGCCGCGGUAAUACGAGAGGCCCAAACGUUAUUCGGAAUCACUGGGCUUAAAGAGUUCGUAGGCGGUCUAGAAAGUUGGGUGUGAAAGCCCUCGGCUCAA